rnacentral:lncRNA from 1 species
AGAAAAAGCCCAGAAACAGCAAAAUCCUUUUAAGGUAUUAACAACUUAAAAAUAGACAGAUUGAGUCCACUGAAGAGGAGCAGUGGAUUUCUGGCAAGACCUGUUUCAGCUAGAGGCGGAUAAACAAUCCUGCAAUUUACACUCCUACAAAGAAGGACAAUAUGAGGAGAGAGAAUUGGAGAAACAAAAUCCAUCUCUCAAAAUUCCUUGACCUUAAGCACAAAAUUGCUCCAGAUUGGCCCCGGCCGUCGGAAAGGCAAACAGCAUGGUUAUUUUUUUUUAAGUCUAUAAAUGUGCUUUACCUGCCAGCAGAGCUGUUAGAAUUUAAUAGGCUCAUACUGACGCUCAAGUGUUUUGAAACACCCAUUACAAGGGGUGUUUUCAAAAACGGACUUUUGCCCAACCCAAAGCAAGGGAAAUUAACCCCGUAAGAGAAACAGGAAAUUAACUGCAUGGCGGUGACUUCAGUGACGUAGGCUCCGGGGUUCUGCGUUGUCGCACACAUCAUUUAAUGGAACUCCAUCUCUGCAGGUCUGCUGGCUGCGCACAAAGAAAGACCUUGUUCGGACCUCGGUCCACCACCGGUCCGUGGAGAUCCAGACUAUGAGGGGACACCAGUGAGGCCCCCCAUUCACAGUCACAUCUGGUCUCGGUGUGGAGUGCUCACGCGAUGAAGGCACACACAGUAGCCUUGAGGCCAACGAUUAAUGCCCACAACAACCUUGAGGGCUGGUAUUAUUAUUAUUACUCCUAUUCACUAACAAGGAAGUUGAGGCUUAGAGAAUCCAAUCUCUUGCCCAGUCAUGGUUGGGGUUUGAGCCCAGGGCUGUCCGCCUCAGGAGACAUAACCACCGAGAGACACUCCUGGGAAAUGUCUACGGAUGGUUGGGACACCGCGGUACUCGCGGGCGCUUUCUCUCCGAUUCUCCCAAUCUGCUAACAAUUUCCCUCCAAAACUUGUCUUGUCUGUGCCACUUCAGCACCACAAAGCACAGUCUCUCUCCCCCGCUCCCCUUCUUCCUUCCUCACUGGAGACCCUCGGCCCUUCAAAUGAAGCAUCAACACAGAAAUAAGCUCAAUGCUCAGAGGAUGGAAUAAAGACCCCAGGAACUGUUGUGCUUUUUUUUUUUUUUUUUUUUUUGGCCUUUUUUGUUUGAUUUCUUUGCAUCCAACAUCUCUUUUCAGCCUCCCAAUAACCCAUGAGGCAGGACUAUUACUGCUCAUUUUACAAGUAAGGAAACUGAAGAUGCAAAAAGUCAGGUCAUUUGUCUAAGGUCGAUGACGAGUCCACAGUAGAGGCAGGAUUUGAACCCCGGCAGUGUGACGUCGCCGCUCAUUCGCUUUGGCCUCCACUGCUCUGCCUCUCUGGCUGCCAGAGGAGGAGAGCGAGGCGUGCACCCCCCACAACCUGGGGGCCUGCACAUGACCCUGAGGCCCUGCGCUUGUCCUGGCCCCUCCUGGCCAGCUGCUGCGUGUCACGAGGUGUUAGCUCAGCCGCCCAUCUCCGAGGGAAGGCUCCAGAACACACACGGGCAGCCUCUGCCCAGCCGGCUUGGCAGGUGAGAAACACAGCUCUCCCCGUCCACAGGGACUCAGCCUCUGGUGGACUCCCCACAGACAUCAUGAAGUUUUGGAGGCACGGGCAGGUCAGGGAAUCGGGGGUCCAUCUGUGACACACGGCCCGCUCCCCUUGGCUCAGCCACCCCAGGACUAGGGGAGGACCCUCACCCCACAGACGAAUGAGCUUCUGAAAGCAGGGCGGGCAAGCUAAGGUGCCAAAAGCUUCCUCAGAGGAUACCUGUGAGCUUCGAUCCAGCUAGAAGAACCCGAAUCGUGUUCCCCUGGUCCAGGGGUCGCAAGGGCCGUGUGGCCAAGCCUGAGGGUCCCAAAGGCCUCCAAGGUUCACUUUGAGCCUUAGGUCCAAAAGAAUAUAAUGAGAUCAGCCAAGAUGAUUGGAAUAUGCAGCAGCAGUCCAACGACUUGGAAUUCAUAUCUCAUUCCAAGGCCACGAUACCUUGAGUGUAGACUAAAUGGAGAGUUGUGAGAAAUCUCAUGAUUGUCUUGUUUAUAAUGCAAGGGCACAUCCUUGUUUUGGGGGCUAAGAGCAUUCAUCUGUUAUCAGGUGUCAGCAAACUUUCUGCAGGGCCAGUUAGUAAAUACCUUAGGCUUUCUAAGCACCUACAGUCUCUGCUGCAGUAUUCUUUUUUGUUGUUGUUGUUGUUGUUUUUAAUGACCCUUUUAAAAUGUAAAAACCAUUCUUAGCUCAUAGGCUAUUCAAAAACAGGCUGCAGGCCAGAUAUGGCCUGCAAACCAGAGUUUGCCAUCCCCUAAAUUCAAACAUAUAAAAUAUAUUACAACCAUUUUAUUAUACCUUCCUUUUUUUUUUUUUUUUUUUUUACUGGAUCCCUCAAAAAAUUAUAUAAGUGUCUGGAGUUGAGGUCUGCCAGGCCCCAGCAGAAAACCUCUAUGGUCUAUUCUUAACCUCCUCUUCAAUGCUUCUUGCACAUUCCAUGGAAAUAUGAAGUAAUCAGCAGGAGGAAGAUUUAGGAAUAAGUGUAAUAAACAUAAAACUGUGAGUUUUAUUAUUGCCUUUGGAGGAAUCUUUGGAAAGCAUCCAUCUUUCCACUCAGGUUUCCCAUCUGUACCGUGAGUGUAAUCACUGGCAUAGAGCCUGGCCGGUAACCAAUAGGUUACUUGUGUUCCUGUGGUCUGGCACAUGGCUGCUCAGAAACUACACGUUUUUAGGUCAGUUCCUACUCUGUGGCUUUCCGUGGAAGCAUUUACUAUUUCCUUUGGCAAGAGUACGAAACUAUUGAUGGGUAGGUGAAUAAUCUUGGGUCAGCAAAAUACUUUAGAGUCUGAGGAAUGGCAUUGGCUCUGCAGCUCCCAUCCCAGAAGUUCUCUGCUCAUGGUGCAGGGCCCUGGGGUGACCCUGGAUGACCCUUAACCACACCAGGCUUCCCUCUGCACUGACUCCUCUCCUCUAAACAGAUCAAGGGCAUUGGAAACCACCUCAUCACCCAAUUGAUCAGGAAUCCCAGAGUGUCCCCAAAGUCUGCCACAGCAACGCCAUGCUCCCUGGGGGAUGCAGACCAGCGAUGCAUGCUCAGGGAUGCAGGGAGCAUCCUGCAGAGCGGUGGUCCCUGAUGAGGGAGCCUGCAGAAAAGGUUCAGGCGCCAUCUCCAUCCCUCAUCAACAUAUUACCUUAGGAAAUGUCUCAAUCCUUCUGAACCUCACUGGAUAAAAUGAGGGCUCUGAACGAAAUGGUCAUAGAAAUGUCUACCUCUAACUUUCUAAGUCCCAUUAAGCCAACUGCUCCCAUCCCACCCCCAGGAAGUACCAUUAAUCCUUAUUUCCUAAUAAAGAUCCUAUUUCCAGGAAAAUAAAGGGCAGGAAAGCUGGGCUUGCCCACAUCAUCUGCUCUCCUAUCCUCUAAACAACUGACACCCUCACUCAUGUUUCCUCCCCAAUUUCAUAAAAAGGAGAUGAGGCAUCUUUCCCUCUGUAGCUAAGUGCUCUAAUUCCAUUCUGUCCCACCAAUCUUGGGGUCCUAUUGCUCCCGCCAGCAUCUCCACUCUCCCUCUCUGUCCCCUUGCCUUGUGUGGAAAUGCACCCCAGAAGCCCCCAUUCUUAAACCCCCUUGGACCCUGCCUCUCCCUCGAGCUGACGUCAAGAGCCCCUCCAGCAGUUCCGGCGAGGGCUCCCGAGGCCAGGGAGCUUCCUCUGUUAGGGCGCAGAGCCCUGUAAUGAAGGGUCCCUGAAAUGUCUGCUUGUCAACCCAGCGCACUCCAGCCCUGCUGGGAGCCAAGCCUGCGGGAACCUCAGAACCUGCCCCAGCGUUUGGUGUGCAGUGAGUGACUCCUCGUCCCAUGUUCCAAGUUAUAGGAAAUCAACAGCACCCGAGGAAAGAAGAAGGAACAGUCCCUUCUGGAAAAGCAACCUCACCGCUGGCAGGGGAAAGCUGGCCCCU